rnacentral:misc_RNA from 1 species
UACGGAGGGGACUAGCGUUGUCCGGAAUCACUGGGUGUAAAGGGUGUGUAGGUGGGGCAGCAAGUCAGAGGUGAAAGCCUGCGGCCUAACCGUAGAGGUGCCUUUGAUACUGCUGUUCUUGAGUCCCGGAGAGGUGGCUGGAAUUCGUGGUGUAGCGGUGAAAUGCGUAGAUAUCACGAGGAACACCAGCGGCGUAGGCGGGCCACUGGACGGGUACUGACACUGAGGCACGAAAGCGUGGGGAGCGAACAGG